rnacentral:rRNA from 1 species
GGUCAAGUGAAGAAGCGCAUACGGUGGAUGCCUUGGCAGUCAGAGGCGAUGAAAGACGUGGUAGCCUGCGAAAAGCUUCGGGGAGUCGGCAAACAGACUGUGAUCCGGAGAUGUCUGAAUGGGGGAACCCAGCCAUCAUAAGAUGGUUAUCUUGUACUGAAUACAUAGGUGCAAGAGGCGAACCAGGGGAACUGAAACAUCUAAGUACCCUGAGGAAAAGAAAUCAACCGAGAUUCCCUUAGUAGUGGCGAGCGAACGGGGACCAGCCCUUAAGUUGUAUUGAGAUUAGCGGAACACUCUGGAAAGGGUGGCCAUAGUGGGUGAUAGCCCUGUACGCGAAAAUCCCUUUGCAAUGAAAUCGAGUAGGACGGGGCACGAGAAACCUUGUCUGAAUAUGGGGGGACCAUCCUCCAAGGCUAAAUACUACUGACUGACCGAUAGUGAACCAGUACCGUGAGGGAAAGGCGAAAAGAACCGCGGAGAGCGGAGUGAAAUAGAUCCUGAAACCGUAUGCGUACAAGCAGUGGGAGCCCACUUUGUUGGGUGACUGCGUACCUUUUGUAUAAUGGGUCAGCGACUUAUUUUCAGUGGCGAGCUUAACCGAAUAGGGGAGGCGUAGCGAAAGCGAGUCUUAAUAGGGCGUCUAGUCGCUGGGAAUAGACCCGAAACCGGGCGAUCUAUCCAUGGGCAGGUUGAAGGUUGGGUAACACUAACUGGAGGACCGAACCGACUACCGUUGAAAAGUUAGCGGAUGACCUGUGGAUCGGAGUGAAAGGCUAAUCAAGCUCGGAGAUAGCUGGUUCUCCUCGAAAGCUAUUUAGGUAGCGCCUCAUGUAUCACUGUAGGGGGUAGAGCACUGUUUCGGCUAGGGGGUCAUCCCGACUUACCAAACCGAUGCAAACUCCGAAUACCUACAAGUGCCGAGCAUGGGAGACACACGGCGGGUGCUAACGUCCGUCGUGAAAAGGGAAACAACCCAGACCGUCAGCUAAGGUCCCAAAGUCAUGGUUAAGUGGGAAACGAUGUGGGAAGGCUUAGACAGCUANGUCGUGAAAAGGGAACCAACCCAGACCGUCAGCUAAGGUCCCAAAGUCAUGGUUAAGUGGGAAACGAUGUGGGAAGGCUUAGACAGCUAGGAGGUUGGCUUAGAAGCAGCCACCCUUUAAAGAAAGCGUAAUAGCUCACUAGUCGAGUCGGCCUGCGCGGAAGAUGUAACGGGGCUCAAACCAUGCACCGAAGCUACGGGUAUCAUCUUAGGAUGAUGCGGUAGAGGAGCGUUCUGUAAGCCUGUGAAGGUGAGUUGAGAAGCUUGCUGGAGGUAUCAGAAGUGCGAAUGCUGACAUGAGUAACGACAAUGGGUGUGAAAAACACCCACGCCGAAAGACCAAGGUUUCCUGCGCAACGUUAAUCGACGCAGGGUUAGUCGGUCCCUAAGGCGAGGCUGAAAAGCGUAGUCGAUGGAAAACAGGUUAAUAUUCCUGUACUUCUGGUUAUUGCGAUGGAGGGACGGAGAAGGCUAGGCCAGCCUGGCGUUGGUUGUCCAGGUUUAAGGUGGUAGGCUGAGAUCUUAGGUAAAUCCGGGAUCUUAAGGCCGAGAGCUGAUGACGAGUGUUCUUUUAGAACACGAAGUGGUUGAUGCCAUGCUUCCAAGAAAAGCUUCUAAGCUUCAGGUAACCAGGAACCGUACCCCAAACCGACACAGGUGGUUGGGUAGAGAAUACCAAGGCGCUUGAGAGAACUCGGGUGAAGGAACUAGGCAAAAUGGCACCGUAACUUCGGGAGAAGGUGCGCCGGUGGAGGUGAAGCAUUUACUGCGUAAGCCCCUGCCGGUCGAAGAUACCAGGCCGCUGCGACUGUUUAUUAAAAACACAGCACUCUGCAAACACGAAAGUGGACGUAUAGGGUGUGACGCCUGCCCGGUGCCGGAAGGUUAAUUGAUGGGGUUAGCGCAAGCGAAGCUCUUGAUCGAAGCCCCGGUAAACGGCGGCCGUAACUAUAACGGUCCUAAGGUAGCGAAAUUCCUUGUCGGGUAAGUUCCGACCUGCACGAAUGGCGUAACGAUGGCGGCGCUGUCUCCACCCGAGACUCAGUGAAAUUGAAAUCGCUGUGAAGAUGCAGUGUAUCCGCGGCUAGACGGAAAGACCCCGUGAACCUUUACUAUAGCUUUGCACUGGACUUUGAAUUUGCUUGUGUAGGAUAGGUGGGAGGCUUUGAAGCGUGGACGCCAGUCUGCGUGGAGCCAACCUUGAAAUACCACCCUGGCAACUUUGAGGUUCUAACUCAGGUCCGUUAUCCGGAUCGAGGACAGUGUAUGGUGGGUAGUUUGACUGGGGCGGUCUCCUCCUAAAGAGUAACGGAGGAGUACGAAGGUGCGCUCAGACCGGUCGGAAAUCGGUCGUAGAGUAUAAAGGCAAAAGCGCGCUUGACUGCGAGACAGACACGUCGAGCAGGUACGAAAGUAGGUCUUAGUGAUCCGGUGGUUCUGUAUGGAAGGGCCAUCGCUCAACGGAUAAAAGGUACUCCGGGGAUAACAGGCUGAUACCGCCCAAGAGUUCAUAUCGACGGCGGUGUUUGGCACCUCGAUGUCGGCUCAUCACAUCCUGGGGCUGAAGCCGGUCCCAAGGGUAUGGCUGUUCGCCAUUUAAAGUGGUACGCGAGCUGGGUUUAGAACGUCGUGAGACAGUUCGGUCCCUAUCUGCCGUGGACGUUUGAGAUUUGAGAGGGGCUGCUCCUAGUACGAGAGGACCGGAGUGGACGAACCUCUGGUGUUCCGGUUGUCACGCCAGUGGCAUUGCCGGGUAGCUAUGUUCGGAAAAGAUAACCGCUGAAAGCAUCUAAGCGGGAAACUUGCCUCAAGAUGAGAUCUCACUGGAACCUUGAGUUCCCUAAAGGGCCGUCGAAGACUACGACGUUGAUAGGUUGGGUGUGUAAGCGCUGUGAGGCGUUGAGCUAACCAAUACUAAUUGCCCGUGAGGCUUGACCAUAUAACACCC